GUUUAGACCCGGUUGCAGCAGCAUCCUUUUUUGAGGCACGAGAAAAAAGAUAUAGCGGAAAACGGGACAGCAC
rnacentral:sRNA from 1 species